rnacentral:rRNA from 1 species
GACGAACCGUGCGAACGUUGUUCGGAUUCACUGGGCUUAAAGGGCGCGUAGGCGGAUGGUCAAGUCGGGGGUGAAAUCUUUCAGCUUAACUGGAAAAGUGCCUCCGAUACUGAUCGUCUCGAGGGAGGUAGGGGCAUGUGGAACUUCCGGUGGAGCGGUGAAAUGCGUAGAUAUCGGGAGGAACACCUGUGGCGAAAGCGGCUCACUGGACCACAACUGACGCUGAUGCACGAAAGCUAGGGGAGCAAACAGG